GGCACUUCCUUGAGCCGUCGGACCACAAGCCUUCUCUCUCCACUCGGCUUCAUCCCAUCUCCCUGCUGAAUUUUUUGCCGUGCGCGCUCUGCGUCCUCAUCUCGUAACCGCCCGUGGAGUCUUCAAAUAUCCAGUCCCUGCGCCGCGCCCCUCUGCUGCUUGCUCUGGUGCUGCGUGCGCGUUCUCCCAUGGCGCCGGUCCGUCCUCCUCUUCCAGCCGCGCCCAGGCCCUCUCCUUCCUCCCUCAGCCCCUGCGCUCAGAAUUCCUCUGCUCCUCUUCAUUCUCCAGCCGGUUCCCUGCGCACGUGCUCCAGCUCCGGCUGGAUCUUCCUCUGGCGGCCGUCGGUCGGAGCUCCCUGGCCGCGCUGCGCCCUGCUCCCUUUGUCUCCCCUAGCGCGCGAGCUCUUGGGUGCGCGCCUGGAUCCCUGCUGAGCUCGGUUCCAUGGCCGCGAUCCAGCUCGCCCAGCCCCAGCCGUUCCUCCUCCUGUAGCUCGCCCCUGCGCGUGCGUCUUCUCGCGUCGUCCCUGCGUCACGCGCGCGUUCCUUCCUGUGCGCGCCAGCAGCCGCGUCUCUCUGGUGUUUCCUCCCUGCGCGCAUGAAAUUUCCUUGCUCGCUGGGGCGCUUGAUCCGUGCUCCACUGUGCCGUAUUGUUUAUCUGCACGCGUCAAGUUCCCACGCCGAGUUCGCCCGAGUCGCAGACCUGUGUGUCCUCAUCGCGCCUACUGCUCGUCGGGUCAAGCCCCAUGUUGCCGUGCCGCGUCGUCAUCACUUCCUGUCGCGAGCUUGAUCCUUGUUGUCAUCGGGUUUUGUGCGUGCUCGCGUUUGCCGUCGAGUCAUUGAACCCAUCAUCCCCUGCUCAACCCUACCCCGCCAGCUCGCUCGAGACACAAUCUCAUCGUCGUCCCGCGCGUCAUCAAGAAUCCCAAGAAUCGGGUGAAGACGAAGCUAGUAGCGCGAUAUUCCCCAAACACUCGACAAUUGACUGGAUCAGAAAAUCACUACCGAUCUCGCGGAUUCGAGUCGGCUAUUGAAACGGUAAGCUGAUAAAUUAUCCAAAAUAGUUCGAUCGUUGCAUAAAUUGAUGUGCUAGUUCGAGGCGCAUUAAGGUGCUCGAUAAAUUGCGUAAGUCACGAACCUCUCGCCGACUUCGCAGUUCUUGUGAUUAUCGAGCCAGAUUCAGCUAUGUCGAAUUAUUUCGCUAUUCUAGUCACUUAGCUGAAUUAGUGGACCGAGUAGAAUUUUGGUAGGCAUGUGUAAGGUUAAAAUAUUUUAAUCACUUAUAAAGAUGUAGAAUAAUUCAUAAAACGAGGGAUAAGUUUAGAAUUCAAUUAAUUAACUGAUAAGUUGUGGUUAGGCUAAUUGUAUUAAAGGUGUAUAAUUUGUUGUUUUGUGAUGUUCGCGUUAGGUUCGGUUAAUCUAAAGAAACGUAAUUAUUGCACGUAGUCAUAUAUUAAUAACUAGUGUUUCCGUAUGAAAUUGUACAACGCCUCGCCGCUAGGUGUUUAAAUUCGCCAUCGCGUAGCACUAUUUAGGGUUUUUGAUAUUCCUGUCUAUAUGUAUUCAUGUGCAUAAUGCAUUUCAUUCAGGUGCGAUAAUUAAUCACGUGAUGCGGAAGAUGACUCAAGUCGACCCCAAGCGCGGGCUAACCCGCGGGAUGAUGUUGAUGGACGGAACCGAAGAUGGAAAAUCUAGCGAAUGUCAAGACAGAAGAUGGUCGUCAAGCGGACGUCGUCUAACAAACACUAACGUAGUGUUUAUUCCAGGCAAGCCCCGGUGCAUUUGCCCCUUCCUUGUGUUUUAAAUGCUUUUUCACCUUAUCUGAUGCAUUAGGUGAUAGGAGUUGUGUGAUAAACAAUUGAUGCAUUACCAUUCCUUGGAAACUCCUUAAUCCCGGUUUUAUAAAAAGAACUGAUAAUGCUUAGCCCUGCUUAGAAACUGAAAAAUCAUUUGUUUUCAAAAAGAAUGAUUGUGGAACAUUGGUUAUGGGCCUUUCGUUUCAAAAAUCAAAGCAAACUUAUGGUGAUGAUUCCACUUCGGCCGGAGUGGGUUCAUCAUUUGGAAAAGAGUACCCCUGUCGGGUACCAAAAAUGGGAAAAUGGUUUGAAUACAUCUAGACCAGACGCUGAGCGGACGUGGUCGCCCGUCUGUGUCGAUUAAGGACCGUUCGAUGUAGGCCUGUUGUGGUGGAGACCUUGCAACUAGCCACAUGCUC